rnacentral:rRNA from 1 species
AUUGAACGCUGGCGGCAUGCUUUACACAUGCAAGUCGAACGGUAACAGGGAGCUUGCUCCGCUGACGAGUGGCGAACGGGUGAGUAAUGCGUCGGAACGUGCCGAGUAGUGGGGGGUAACGCAUCGAAAGGUGUGCUAAUACCGCAUACGUACUGAGGUAGAAAGUGGGGGACCUUCGGGCCUCACGCUAUUCGAGCGGCCGACGUCUGAUUAGCUAGUUGGUGAGGUAAAGGCUCACCAAGGCGACGAUCAGUAGCGGGUUUGAGAGGAUGAUCCGCCACACUUGGACUGAGACCCGGCCCAGACUCCUACGGGAGGCAGCAGUGGGGAAUUUUGGACAAUGGGCGCAAGCCUGAUCCAGCCAUGCCGCGUGUCUGAAGAAGGCCUUCGGGUUGUUAAGGACUUUUGUCCGGGAGCAAAUGCCUGGUGUUAAUAGCACUGGGAGCUGAGAGUACCGGAAGAAUAAGCACCGGCUAACUACGUGCCAGCAGCCGCAGUAACAC